UACGGAGGGUGCGAGCGUUAAUCGGAAUAACUGGGCGUAAAGGGCGCGCAGGCGGUUUUUUAAGUGAGAUGUGAAAUCCCCGGGCUUAACCUGGGAAUAGCAUUUCAGACUGGUAGCCUAGAGUGCUUUAGGGAGGGGUAGAAUUCCACGUGUAGCGGUGAAAUGCGUAGAUAUGUGGAGGAAUACCGAAGGCGAAGGCAGCCCCUUGGGAAUGUACUGACGCUCAUGUGCGAAAGCGUGGGGAGCAAACAGG
rnacentral:rRNA from 1 species